UUUAAAAAUCUAACCCAAUCAACCCAACCCGACCCAACCCGCAGUUUUGCGGGUUGGGUUGAGAUAUGUAAUGGGUUGAGUUGAGAUAUGUAAUGGGUUGGGUUGGGUUGAAAAAUUUCAACCUGUUCUACAUGCGGGUUGGGUCGAGUUGAGCGACCCGUGCCCACCCCUAGAUAAAAGAGAGGGAUCAGUUUUAUUUAAGAUAAAUAAAUUUUAUUGAUCUCUCGUAAUUAAAUAUAGUGUUCUGAUGGAUUCUAAUAAUAAGACCUUAUGUGAGCUAUGAAUAGGUUCUCACUAAAUAAUCAACUAAUGAGUCAUUUAGAAAAGAUGAGAGAAAAUGAUAUACUAGGAAGUUCACCAAAUAAGAGAAUGUUAAUUAGGAGAAUAUUCCUUAUAAAUUUUGGGGAUUGUUAUUCUCUUUUAAUCUAAAAGUCUCAUUUCUAAUUUUGUUAAAAAUAUAAAUUCAAAUCAAAAGAGAAUAAUAUUCUUGAAAUUAUAAAAAUGUAAUGAAGAAUAUUGUUACAAAUUAUAUUCUUAAAAGACGCAAAAAAAAGCUAUAUGAAACAGUACACCAUGUCAUUCGUGCACUUGACCAAUAAUAUUUUGACACAUAUAUGUACUCUUAUUUUGAAAUUGAUCAAUCAUGAAAAAGAGAAAAUAAUAUAAAACAUGUGGCAUGCAUUUUUUUAACAGUCUCAAUAUAUAUAUAGGACCAUCCCAUAUAAUUUUUUUUUUCUUUUAAAGCAUAUGUUUGUAGACUAAUUUAGUUGAUUAUUCUAUUAAGGGAGGGAUAGUAUUAAUCGAUUAUUAAGGGAAAAAUGAGGAUUAUCCCCUUUUGUUUGGAGAAAUUAAGUGAAAUUUUCUCAUGUCAUAAAUAGGCAGUCCAAACCUUUCUGCAGUUAUAACUUCGAUAAUUUUAUAUCGUUUUACUAUACUACUGCUAGUUUUGAUAAUAGUCAUAAAAUCUAAAUGUUUUGAGCUAUGAAUCAAAUCAAAUAGCUUAAGUACCCUUAAUGAUUAAAUUAAUUUAAUAAUGAAUUAUAAACCUCAGAAAAACAUUAGAAACUAAAGCUCAAACAAUCGACUUCUCACACCCAUAAAUCAAUUUUCUUCCCAACAAAAUUAAUAAAAACACCCAUGUUAGGCAUUUGAGCAUAGUAACAAUGGACAUUGCAAUCAUUAUUUCAAGAAUUCCUUUAAAAUCUCUAUACCAACAAAAUCAGACUCCAUUUAAUGACCUAGUCAUAAACAUUACAACAACAACAACAACAAAAAAAGAACAAACAAAAGUUUAAACUUUUAAUAACCAUAAUAAACCCCAUGUGUCAAAAAAAAAAAAAAACAACAGACUCAAGAACAUAACGUACCUUUGGUUAAUAUUUGCUUUCACAGUCAAGGGCAAGCUUGAUGAUGAUGACUUGAUGAUGCAAAUUUAAAUGAUUAAAAACUUCACAAGCUAUGGAUUUAAGAAGAGGCUGAGUCACAUGAUUAAGCACGUGGAUGCAGACCCUGCAUAAGCCGAGUGGAACCUUCUUCCAAUAACCCCCAAACACAUCCUGGUCCAUCGUGGGCUCCCACGUGUUCAACCUCACCUCACUUCGUGACAACUCUUGUUUGGGCAUUUGAAACCAGCGUGGAAUUUAAUUGACCAUGAGCCUUAAUAUAUUAUAGAGUUGCGUAUAUAUCCAUGACUGCUGCCGUUGUGUUAAUUGAUUUCAUCACUCAAUUUUGUCUUUUGAUCAUCAUUUCCGUAGCCCUUAGGAAUUUGCAAGUCCCAUGUGGAGAACCACGCGUUACAAUUUCGUACAGAAGCACAGUUCAUUCUAUUUUAUUUAUUUUUUGAACUUCUUCUCAAACCGAGAAAGAAGUUUCCAAUUGUCUAAUUAGCAAAUUUGUCUAACAAGUAGGGAUGAUGCUGUGAGUGAAGGAGCUCGUUGGCCUCCGUGGGCUAGUUUGAUAUAUCGCCAUGAGAAGGAAUUGUAAUACGUAUUUUUCCUUCUUAAUUUUAAUUGAGAUGCAUUAUGUAUUUCGAUUGGUCGUAAUAUGUAUUUUUUCUCGAAUAUGUAUUUUUUUUCUUUCUUACUUUUCUUGACUGGUUUUAUAGUUUAGUAAAGACAAAUUUUGUUAAUAUUCUCUUAUAAUCUAUAAAAUUUUUAAAACUAGUUUGCUAAAAAAUUAAAAUUAAUAAAUUCAUGAUGGAUUUGGAGUAGGUCUGGAUUUUUUUUUUUUCUGAGAUCUGAAUAUGGAGCAAAAAUCAUAGACUCAUGAUGAAUUUGAUGUAAAUAUUUAUUCUAUUUUUUUUUUUUUACAAAUCUAGAUAAGGAGGAAGGUAGAUCCAACCCUUAUAUGCCUCAUUGCUAUCUCUUGAGCACACUAUGUAGUAUUAUAUUAUAUGAGACAUAUGAAAAUGAUAUAAUGUUGUCAAAUGAGUUUGUACUACAAAUUAAAUUUUUAAAUAUGGCAUUAUUGUUUUUAAGUACUAAAAUUGUUAGUACAAAUCUUUCGGAACGUUGACGCCUAUUAUGGCAUAAUUUGGCAGAGGGAAGGAGUCACUAGCGGCAGCCAAAGGGUAAUGGCACGGAUUAUGGGAAGGGACGUUGAUCUUGAUGCGCUGGUGUGGCCUUAAAUCUACUUUAGGAUACAAUAAUGCUACAUUGAUCUAUUACUCUCUCGAGUGUGAGUUUUGGAGACAGGCAUUAUUGAGACCCAAUAAUUCUUGUUUCAUAAUCUUGCAUGGCCGGUAAAGCGAACGGUAGAGUUGUGAGAAUGGGAGCGGACUAUGCCACAUGAUUAAUGUAGAACCGAAAUAAACGAGGGAACUAUUGCUAUCUAUUGAGUUACUUGGACACAAAGCAACCUGGCGAUCAACAUAUGAACAAAUGCCACCUAAACAUUAUUUCAAACACUAAACCUAAUGCUAUUUUCUUGGAGAUAGGGAGUGUUUAAGCUAUGAUCCUAGAAUGAAUGAGUCCAGCGUAAGGAAGAUAAAAAGGUUAAGUGUCUAUUUGAUGAAUAAGAUUUGACCAUGGAAACCAAAGAUAGUCAUUUUAGGGUUUCUUAGCAAUCAAGAUACAUACUUUUGGUGUUUCAAGGGUUUUCUAUACUUGGCGUAGAUGCAAAGGCGGAUGCAGCAUGUGACUAGUAGGGAUUGCAGCCCCGCUGGCAAAAAAAAAAAAUUAAGAAUAAAAGAAAAAUAUAUUUUAGGUUUCCAAUGAGUCCUUAUUAAAUUUAUUAGAAUAGUUCUGAUAAAUUUAUAAACCCAUAAAAUUUAAACUUUAAGAAUGAUAGAAGCCUAUACUUCAAUUAUAAAUAAUGAUAACCUAUCACACAACAUUUUCCUAUUCCCAAAAAUAGAAUUAAUUCUUCUAAUUUCUAUAAUAAUAGUAGAGAUAACAAAAUUUGUGAGGAACCAGAUUUAUAAAUAAUAAUUUAGUUCUUUAUGUAGGAAAUGAUACAUUUAAUAGGGUCCAGCUAACUUGCAAUAGUUGCAAGGUGCCACCAAAUUUUGUCUUAUGUGACGUUAAAUUUCAUUGAACCCUUUAUCUUCUUUUUUAUUUACAUUUUAUUUAUAAGUUUAUGUGCUUUAACUAAUGACCUUUUAAA
rnacentral:lncRNA from 1 species